CCGGGCCGGGGGCCGGGGCGAGCGCAGCGCCGCGGGGUCCCCUGGCGGGGCUGGCUCGGGCUUCGUCCCCGGACACGCCGAGGCUGCAGUCCCCGUUGGAAACCCCGCCGCUGUCACAGCGCGCCCGCCCGUGGCCGAGGCGACCUCCCCCGCCGCCGCCGCCGCCGCCGCCGCCGCCUUCCUCGCUCUGCCGGCCGCCGCCGCUCCCGCGCCCUCGCCCCCGUCAGCCCGGGUUGUCCGCGCGCCACAGGACGGAAGGAUCCAAUAUUUGGGAGUAUGCUUGAGAAAACAGAGCUUCAGGAAAAGCUGAGAAUGACCUCUCUUUGGCUGACUCAUUCUGACUUUAAAGUAAUAUGUCUUUACAGAACAUGGCCCUGUUGGAGACAGAAAGGAUGUGAUGAGGACGCCCUUAUCCAUUAUCAAUGGAUAAUUGAUAUCCAUUGCAGCCUAAGGGAAUGCAGCCCUCUGAGAGUUCUCAGGCCCUGCCUGAUUGUCACCUGAAGAAGGUGAAAGAAGAGAGUCAAGUUGGCAAUUAGGUGUUCUCUUAACUGCCUACUUUGAUUGAUUGUGAUGGGCCACCUGGAACAUGGUGUUAAGAAGCAUUUUCGGCCCAAUUCCAGGCUCAGUGGAAAAGAGGAAAAUCCUUACUUUUUGCUACAGGUAAAACAAUAGUGAGUAACAAUGCUUGCUGGGAGUAGGUUGGGGUCAGGAUUUGGCCCAAGCUUAUUACUGACAAAUUGAAACGUAUACAGGGGUUGGACCAUGUGGCAGGAUUAAUUGUAUGACUAUGGGGAGGUGAUGAGGUAUGUUAGGUGGCAGAAGUGCACAGACAAGAUGGAAAUGGGUGCUUAGGGUGUAUAUCCAAGAUCUAGGCCCAAAAUAAUCACAACAACCAGCUUGGGGAUGGAGAUGCUGUCAGAUUAUACCAAAGGGAAUGAGCUAUCAAUGGAAGAUUUUCUUUUUUAAUGCAGUGACUUGGGUCCUAUUGUUCCAGAUCCAGCAUUUUAAUCCUGGCGCUUGAUGGCAAUGGAUACAAGAGUGACAAAAGAUGAGGGUGUCAUGGUCAGUACCUAAGGAGGCAGAGCAUGUGUCUCCUUUGGUUCAGGAUACUUUAAUUUUUCUUGAGAGUAAACAUUUUCAUAAUGUGAAUUUGCAGUAUUCAAUGAUAUUUAAUUCUGUUAUAGAGAAUAAGAAAACAAAUGAGAUGGAUGAGACUCAAAGUGUGUCAAAUGGCUUGCAAGAUAUAUAUAAAAUUAAUUAGAUGGGUUAAGUAUACAAAGUAAGUUACCUAAAAGACAUGUUAAAAAAUAG
rnacentral:lncRNA from 1 species